rnacentral:lncRNA from 1 species
UUUUUAUCAUCAGGGGUACUAUUAUUCAUAAGACGUGGAGGAGAAUCAAUCCUUAAUGCAAAGUUAAGAUCCAUGACUACGAGAACUAUUAAGAGGUUCUCUUACCAUGAUUUGAAGUUAGAUUCAUUUAGCAUAGGAAUAGAAUUGAUGUUGACAGUAAUAUUAGUAGCAGAGAAACUGAACAGAGAGCAACAAACAAACAAAACAAGCUCAUAUUAGCAUAAAACAAAAUAAAUUCAAAUAAAGGUAAACCUCAUCUCAAGAUAUCAGACACUCCAUUAAUAUUCUAUCUUU